rnacentral:rRNA from 1 species
GACGAACGCUGGCGGCGUGCUUAACACAUGCAAGUCGAACGGAAAGGCCCUGCUUUUGUGGGGUGCUCGAGUGGCGAACGGGUGAGUAACACGUGAGUAACCUGCCCUUGACUUUGGGAUAACUUCAGGAAACUGGGGCUAAUACCGGAUAGGAGCUCCUGCUGCAUGGUGGGGGUUGGAAAGUUUCGGCGGUUGGGGAUGGACUCGCGGCUUAUCAGCUUGUUGGUGGGGUAGUGGCUUACCAAGGCAUUGCCGGGUAGCCGGCCUGAGAGGGUGACCGGCCACAGUGGGCCUGGGCUACGGCCCAGCCUCCUACGGGAGGCAGCAGUGGGGAAUAGUGCACAAUGGGCGGAAGCCUGAUGCAGCAACGCCGCGUGGGGGAUGACGGCCUUCGGGUUGUAAACCGCUUUCGCCUGUGACGAAGCGUGAGUGACGGUAAUGGGUAAAGAAGCACCGGCUAACUACGUG